ACGAGUUUUCUAAACUCCCAAACCUUUGUGAACAUACCUUUGUUGCCUCGGUGGCCUACCCGGUAGCUACCCUGUAGCUACCCUGUAGUCUGCCGACGGACCACGAAACUCUUGUUUAUAGUGUAUCUCUGAGUACUACUUUUAAAUAAGUCA
rnacentral:misc_RNA from 1 species